GCCGGAGUGGCGGAAUUGGCAGACGCAACGGAUUCAAAAUCCGUCGCCCCUUAAAGGCGUGUGGGUUCAAGUCCCUCCUCCGGCA
rnacentral:tRNA from 1 species